rnacentral:lncRNA from 1 species
GUGAGGAUCUUAGUGCAAACUUGCUGGAACUGCUUAGGGAAGGGAACACCUAUUCUGGUGGGGAAGAUGUCCUCGUUGUUAAUGAGCAUCUCAAUCCAGUCCAUCAGCAUACACAUGUACUGCGGGGCUGACAGCUUGGUUGGCUUCUUGUACUUGCUGUCGUCCUGCCACCUGUACUCAUACUUGAGCCCACCCGACAUGAUAGGGCAGCUCUUCUCCGUGCAGUACUCCGACAUGGUGCCGUAGAUGAGGUUGAUGCGGUUGAAGAAG